ACCUUCGGGUGGUGGACAGUGGCAGACGGGUGAGUAACGCGUGGGAACGUGCCUUUCGGUUCGGAAUAACCCAGGGAAACUUGGGCUAAUACCGGAUACGCCCUUCGGGGGAAAGAUUCAUUGCCGAAAGAUCGGCCCGCGUCGGAUUAGCUAGUUGGUGGGGUAAUGGCUCACCAAGGCGACGAUCCGUAGCUGGUCUGAGAGGAUGACCAGCCACACUGGGACUGAGACACGGCCCAGACUCCUACGGGAGGCAGCAGUGGGGAAUAUUGGACAAUGGGCGAAAGCCUGAUCCAGCCAUGCCGCGUGGGUGAAGAAGGCCUUAGGGUUGUAAACCCCUUUCAGCGGGGAAGAUAAUGACGGUACCCGCAGAAGAAUCC
rnacentral:rRNA from 1 species